rnacentral:rRNA from 1 species
UACGUAGGGACCGAGCGUUGUCCGGAUUCAUUGGGCGUAAAGAGCUCGUAGGCGGCUGCUCAAGUCGAAUGUGAAACCUCGAGGCUUAACCUCGAGCCUGCAUUCGAUACUGGGCGGCUAGAGUCUGGUAGGGGGAUCUGGAAUUCCUGGUGUAGCGGUGGAAAUGCGCAGAUAUCAGGAGGAACACCGGUGGCGAAGGCGGGAUCCUGGGCCAUACUGACGCUGAGGAGCGAAAAGCGUGGGGAGCAAACAGGG